GACAUGAAGAAGAACAAGACAUUUUCAGUCUAGUAGAAGAAAUCAAAGAUGUUGCUUUCCAUCUUUCUGAAGGUGGUCAUGGCUGCCAUGUGGCUGGGAUCCAAUAUUGCCCAGAAUGUUACUCAAAGCCAACCAGCAUUGUUCGUGCAGGAGAAGGAGCCUGUGACCCUGAACUGCACAUACGACACCACUGCUAGAACUUACAGUCUAAUCUGGUACAAGCAGCUCAGCGGUGGGGCAAUAAUUUUCCUUAUUCGCCAUGAGUCUUAUAGCCAGCCAAAGGCCACAGAAGGUCGCUACUCCUUGAAUUUUCAGAAAGAAAAGAAGUCUGUCAACCUUGUCAUCUCAGCCUCACAGCUGGAGGACUCUGCAUUGUACAUCUGUGCCCUUAGAGAGUCCACAGUGAGAGACUUGUUGGAAGAAGGUGUAUCAAACCCCAGGGCUCUGCUUGAUGCAUCCACCUGCUGUAGAGACCAAGGCCAGGAAUUGCCACCAGAGACAGGAAGUGGUGAGGUCUGUGGCAGCAUAUUACAUGUGUAG